GCCGCAGUAUUCUGUGCUAAGGUAGCAUAAUAAAUUGCCCUUUAAUUAAGGGAUAGUAUGAACAGAUCAACGUUCUCAAACUCUUUUCCUAGAAUAAGCAAUAAAAUUUACAUAAUAGUAAAAAGGCCAUUAUAAUAAAGAAAGACGACAAGACCCUGUUGAACUUCACUUUAGUUAAGCUGGGGUGGCAUAAAAAAAUAACUUAGUAAAAGUUGCAUAUACAGACCUGGUAAACCAAUUAAUAGAUCAAUUUACCACAGGGAUAACAGCGCAAUAUUACUUAAAAGCACACAUUCAAAGUAACAUUUACGACCUCGAUGUUGAAUUAAUUUAACCACGCUGAGCAAAACCAGCCAAGGAAGGUCUGUUCGACCAAUAAAAAAUUACGUAAAUUGAGUUCAGACUGGCGCAAGCCAGGUCAGAUUCUAUCUUCUUAACAAUUAAUACAGUACGAAAGGACCUAUUAACAAAUA
rnacentral:rRNA from 1 species